GACAUGACUCUCGGCAAUGGAUAWUYUCGGCUCUCGCAUCGAUGAAGAGCGCAGCGAAAUGCGAUACGUGGUGCGAAUUGCAGAAUCCCGCGAAC
rnacentral:rRNA from 1 species